CCACUGUGGAUCUCUGGCAGUUAAUUGCACCACUUUGACCCUCAAGAUCUGGAUCAAAGGCAUGCUAUCUUCUUGCCGCGGGAUCUGGAUCACAUUCCCACCUCCACGGCAGCUCUCCUCCAAUCUUACCUGACUUUUCGGUUCUAGAUGGGAGUGCUGACGUUUGGAAAUGAUGUGGGCUUCAGACUGGAGCACAAGACACAAAAACCUUUCAUGCUGAUCUCAGUCUCUCUAGGGAUGUUUUGUCUUGUGGAAAGCUCUGCUAGCAUCCAAACACACAAUAGACUCAAAAGUGGCACCCAGUUCCUGCCUUCCAAGUCAUAGUGACCAAGUGGGGCUUCUGUUCAACUGCCAACCAGAGAGUUACCAUCUCACCAAACCCACGUGAGAUGUCUUAUCGACAUCCCACCAUUCGAAGGUGGAAAGCAGCAAAGCUAUUUGUGCAGAAAAAGCAGAAAGAUCCAAGCAGCGAUUUCAAAGCAUGGAGUGAAUUAGCUUGUUUUACUGUCUUCUGGAUGUAAUGGCAAGUAACAUUGAAAUUAAUGAGAAACAUAAAUGACUGGCCUCGAAGAUGGACAUUUGUAGAAAUAAGUCACGAGAAGAUGCAAGGAUGAUGUGGGAGAAAAACUCUGACCCCAACCUGGAGAAUAAUCUAAGCAGCAGAGUAGGAAGCCAACACUGAGGGGAACAAGAGAACAAUCUGUGGAGAGAAGAGCUGGGUAAUGAGAACGCAGGAACAGGAAACCCCAGGAUUCCACAGAAAUCCACCUGCCUAAGAGCUUACUUCAGCCCGCUUCUCUUGCUUAUUCUUCAACUCAGGAAUAUUUGGUUUUUCAGUUACUAUGGAGGCAUGAAAAAAAGUGAACAUCCUGAUACAAAAUAAAAAAUAACUUACUUAAAUGGGAAGAAGAUGAGAAAAAUCAUAUUU
rnacentral:lncRNA from 1 species